rnacentral:rRNA from 1 species
AGCGAACGCUGGCGGCAGGCUUAACACAUGCAAGUCGAGCGGGCCCUUCGGGGUCAGCGGCAGACGGGUGAGUAACACGUGGGAACGUACCCUUCGGUUCGGAAUAACUCAGGGAAACUUGAGCUAAUACCGGAUACGCCCUUUGGGGGAAAGGUUACUGCCGAAGGAUCGGCCCGCGUCUGAUUAGCUAGUUGGUGGGGUAAUGGCCCACCAAGGCGACGAUCAGUGGCUGGUCUG